rnacentral:rRNA from 1 species
AACGAACGCUGGCGGCAUGCCUAACACAUGCAAGUCGAACGAGACCUUCGGGUCUAGUGGCGCACGGGUGCGUAACGCGUGGGAACCUGCCCUUAGGUUCGGAAUAACUCCCCGAAAGGGGUGCUAAUACCGGAUAAUGUCUUCGGACCAAAGAUUUAUCGCCUUUGGGUGGGCCCGCGUUGGAUUAGCUAGUUGGUAAGGUAAAAGCCUACCAAGGCGACGAUCCAUAGCUGGUCUGAGAGGAUGAUCAGCCACACUGGGACUGAGACACGGCCCAGACUCCUACGGGAGGCAGCAGUGGGGAAUAUUGGACAAUGGGCGAAAGCCUGAUCCAGCAAUGCCGCGUGAGUGAUGAAGGCCUUAGGGUUGUAAAGCUCUUUUACCCGGGAUGAUAAUGACAGUACCGGGAGAAUAAGCUCCGGCUAACUCCGUG